GUGGGUAUAGUUUAAUAAAAAUGCUAGAUUGUGAUUCUAAAGACAAAGGUUGAAACCCUUUUACCCACC
rnacentral:tRNA from 1 species